rnacentral:tRNA from 1 species
GAUAUUAGCUUAGCUGGUCAGGGCAUGGUGCUAAUUACACCAAGGUUGUGGGUUCAAUCCCUGUAUGGGCCA